rnacentral:rRNA from 1 species
AAUAGAUACCCUGGUAGUCCACGCCCUAAACGAUGUCUACUAGUUGUUGGGUCUUAAUUGACUUAGUAACGCAGCUAACGCGUGAAGUAGACCGCCUGGGGAGUACGGUCGCAAGAUUAAAACUCAAAGGAAUUGACGGGGACCCGCACAAGCGGUGGAUGAUGUGGAUUAAUUCGAUGCAACGCGAAAAACCUUACCUACCCUUGACAUGUCAGGAAUCCUUGAGAGAUCGAGGAGUGCCCGAAAGGGAACCUGAACACAGGUGCUGCAUGGCUGUCGUCAGCUCGUGUCGUGAGAUGUUGGGUUAAGUCCCGCAACGAGCGCAACCCUUGUCAUUAGUUGCUACGCAAGAGCACUCUAAUGAGACUGCCGGUGACAAACCGGAGGAAGGUGGGGAUGACGUCAAGUCCUCAUGGCCCUUAUGGGUAGGGCUUCACACGUCAUACAAUGGUACAUACAGAGGGCCGCCAACCCGCGAGGGGGAGCUAAUCCCAGAAAGUGUAUCGUAGUCCGGAUUGUAGUCUGCAACUCGA